rnacentral:rRNA from 1 species
UACGUAGGGUGCAAGCGUUGUCCGGAAUUAUUGGGCGUAAAGAGCUCGUAGGCGGUUUGUCGCGUCUGCUGUGAAAACCCGAGGCUCAACCUCGGGCCUGCAGUGGGUACGGGCAGACUAGAGUGCGGUAGGGGAGAUUGGAAUUCCUGGUGUAGCGGUGGAAUGCGCAGAUAUCAGGAGGAACACCGAUGGCGAAGGCAGAUCUCUGGGCCGUAACUGACGCUGAGGAGCGAAAGCGUGGGGAGCGAUCCGG